UGCACAUCGUCGCUUCUUAUCUCCCAGCCGCCACCUGCACAGGGCACACUCCGACCAUGCAACCGCCAAGGUCGCCGACCACAUUGUGCACGUCUACGCCAUCGACCUCGGCGGACGGUGCCGCAAUGUUCGUCAGUAUGUCCGGUUGGUCGAGGAGCGCCAAGGAAGUGGGCCGAGGGGGCGUGGGGGCGGCGGCAGAAGCAGCAUGGGUGUCCUACGGUGAGCGCUUUGAGGGAUUCUGCAGAGCAGUUCUCCCCAGAGGCCUGAUGCAUCCAACCCUACAAGGCCCUAGCAGAGCUUGAACCUUCUUCAGCAAAUAAUGGUCACCGAGUUCUCAUAUUCAAGUUUCAACCACUGGACCACAAUUCUUGAUAUCUACCAAUGGACACUGGAAGUAAUAUGAGCUACAUAUAUGCAUCUCAAUGGGGGUUAUUUCUUUCCUCAGCAAGUUACAGAACAAUAGGAAAGGUAAAGUGAACACACAACUUGGUUUUAUGGUUAUUAGAACGUCACUGUACUAUAUUCCAGGCUAAGCAGAAGUGGCGUUGGCACUGAAGAACAUCAGUUUAUGUUUAAGAGAUCUCAAUUUUGGAGAGUCUGAUGUGUUACAAAUUAUUGUUGUAUAUAAGGAGAAUAGUGGGAGAAGAUCUGCAGUUGUGUAUGUGUAAGCUUUCUGAGGUAGUUUUUUUUAUUUCAAGAUCCUAACUGUUUAUCCAUUUGCUCCUUAGAUUCGCUUACUGAUUGUAAAUUGCUUUACUUCAUUGGACAUAAAAGGACAAUAUGCUUGUAUUUGUGAAACUGCUAUAUUUUUCUGUACAAUGGUGAAAGAGCUACAUUUUAUAUCGCUCUAUGAUUCAUUUUCUUCUAUUCCAUAUGGACAUAGGAAACUUGAAAACUACACCACAACUCUUAGGCUUGCCAAAAUAUGAGGAUUAUCACUCGGUCAUGAGCGAAACUCGAUGUACCCGGUAAGGAUGGAGGCAAGAUGGGGCCAUAGAGCCCCCUUUUGCGCAGGAGGGAGUAGGUCUCAGCCGAAGGCAACAAUUAUGGCUGCUUCCAGAGCCUAAGCCACCUGCGGAGUCAAUGUCAUGGUCGCCCCAGAGCGGAAUCCAUCGCCUAGGCCACAAGAGUAGGAGCUGCUGUCGUAGAGGUCAUGUCUGAACCUAAACUGAACUUUCUAUGGAUGGUAAGAUGUCCUCCCUCAAUCUUCUAGCAGCCAGUGCUCGUUGGCCUCUCCUCACCAUUCAGUUGCUGAUUGUAUGAAAUAGAUGGUUAACACUUUAUUUUGUUGGUCCCUACUGGACGGUAGUGAUGUUGAGACACAAGAGAUUAUCAGGCCUACACACACACACACACACACACACACAUAUAUAUAUAUAUAUAUAUAUAUAAUUGUUCAUUGAUCUUUCUUAUCUCUGAUAUAAUUUUGCCAAUGAUCAAAGAACUGUUGUUCUGGAUGUACACCUAUUGUGUUGCUUAUUUUGCCAUCACUCUUCUGCUUUACCUUAGGAGUAGUACCAAUCUUAGAAAAUGCUCCUAAUUUGGGUAAAAUUUGGAAACAUUAUGGAUGGAUAAAUUUAUGGACUUGUUCCUUUAUUACCUAAUUGUAUAGCCUAUGAUCUUAUACAGUUGAGGGCCGCUUAUCCUAUUCUUUAUGUGUGAAGUUAAAAGCUAAACAUAGCUAAUGACAUAAGUGAUCUAUUAAAAUAUAUCGCGGAAGUAAGUACUUAUUUUUGUUUCUACUUAUUACCUAAUUUUAAUGUGAAUUUUUCAAAGACAUACAAUGUUCGAUAUAGUCUAAUUUAAUAUACCAGCGAUGAUGGUAUUGAAUCUGCGAAGAAAAUGUAUACUCAUUUCAUAAUUGCAUCUUUUAAUUAGUAGGUCAGGACCAAGCUUUAGGCAGGAAAGUGGGACAAUCUUCAGUAAGCUACAAUGUUCAUGUCUUCAUAUAUCAUUUGACUGAUGUGUUCUUGUAUCAUUCUUCUACUUUCGGAGCUAUUACUGCGAUCAUUUUGACCUCGUGUCUUCUUAUAUCAUUUGACCUUAUCUAGAUAUUAGUGGUUCUUAAUCCAGCAAGGUCUUGAAUAUUUUUCGCUUUGUCCAUUCAAAAUUUUGUUCGUCUAGCAACGUUCAUGGUUUAAGCUUUGAUUCGAAAAACAACUUUCAAUUUUAUAGGAGAGACAAAGAGCAACAACAAGCCGCUGUAGAUAUUGUGUAGUAGCAACAUUAAUGAUCUGCUAAUGUUAUAGGUUUUUUUUUCUUCUUUCCUUAAUAUCUACAUGACCAAUGUAUAUUUUUAAUGAUCAAACAUGCACAUGUCACAUUAAGAGGUUGAGAGUAGCUCAAAAGAUAUGCAUACAUCCUCUACCUUACCUAAUGAAAUAUUUCUAAAACCAUAGUAGAUGUCAGGUGUAAAUUCCAUAAAGAAUUGUUGGUUUUUGUAAUUAUUUCGUGAAACUUUCAUUGUAGGGUUCUAGGAUUGGUCAAUAAGCAGGGUUGUUUUCUUUCUUUAGUAUCUGCAUGAUCAAGUUGGUCUGUACUUUUAAUGAUCAUACCUGCACAUGUCACAUUAAGAUUGAAUAUAUUGUGACUUUUGUAACCAUUUCUUGUUAAUUGCUUGAGGAAAAACCAACAGGAAUAUUUUUCUUAGAAAUCCCAAGGAAGUAAAUGUUCUCACUGUGUUGGUAAAAUAAUAUAUAUUUUUGUUGUAUGUAUACUUAAUUUCAGGAGAUGUAGAUUUUCUUGUUAUCUUAUAUAUGUUCCUUUUCUUUUUUUCUUCUUGUGAAAAAUGAGUUCAACAACAAAGGGGUCCUCAUUCUGGCCUCCUGGGGUUGAAAUGAUUACUCCUUUAAUUGAUUUGAAGAUUGUUAAUUUUUUUAUUUGGAAACGCUUGGAAGCUUUCCUUUGUUUUGGCGUUAUGAAGAUCUUAUGCUGCAGGGAGUUUUCACCAAUGCCACAAAGAUGUUGCUGCAUCGAACGCAUAGGAUAAUAUGAUAUUAGUAAGUAUCUAUCAUCUACAUUUUUCUUUUGUCUUCAAUUUUGUAGGAUUUCUUUUCUUUCAGCAAUGUUUUAGAAAUAUAAAUACUUUCUUAUAUGUUUAUCCAGUCAUCCACAUUUAACUAGGUUGCAAAGAACGUUGAAGUGAUAACUGCAUGUGUAAGUACCAUGGAUGAGCUAGCAAAACAUACAUUUUUAUGCUAGAGUGCAUAUGGAUUAGGUAUGUGUAUUUGUUGGCAAUGUUCAUGUGUGAGAAAGCAAGGUCCAUAAGAUAUCUAGGGGAUUAGAGGUGGUAUGAUUUAAAGAUAAAGCAUCAUCUUGAGUGCUUUUUUUCAUGUGGUUGCUGCAUGGGCUUCAAAUAAUUUACUUGGGACUUCAUUCAGAAGUACAACUGGCAAUCCGAGAUCAAUACUGAGAUCAGACAUCAGAUACGAUAUAAUUUUUUUUGUACAAACAAAAUCUAUGAUAUCAUGCCAUUCUAUGUGUGUUCAGAAAUAAGUUUGGUAUCUGCUACAAUGUACAUAUAACUUGGUCAUCCUAAAGAAACUUUAUCUUGCAUAUUGCUUGGUUACAAGAUAAUAACUAAUAUGUAUUACAAAUAUCUAGGGAAAUCUUUUGAUUGUUUUGUACAUAUAUUAUCAUGGAUGCCAAAUAGCAGGUUGCUUCAAACCAGGGGAACUGGCUGGUUCAUAGAUGGUUGAACGUUCAAUCUUCGACAAUGCUCAUGGAGCAAACAAGGGGAAUUAAGUUAGUAUGUCUUUAAAAUAGCACCCAAAGGUGCACUCAAUAAUUCCAGUUUUUCAACUUGUACUGUUAUUGUUGAUACACAUUGUUUUGUGCAUACUUGCUAGGGAAAAGUAUAUUUUUCGUCCCUGGACUCUCUCAAAAGUAUAGAAACGGUCCUUCAACUUUAAAACCGGCAAAUGUUAGUCCCUCAACUUCUCAAACCGGAUUAUUUUAAUCCCUUGACUCAACAAAGGUUGUUUUCAUGCUUACUUGGCAUGGUUUUGACCAGUCUAACACCCACAUGGCAAUCUUCUUCUUUUCCAUUUUAACUCGGCUGGUCAUUUCGUCGAGCAGUUGGCGCCACCGGGCAACAAGAGAAAGAGGUAGGCAUGGAGCUUGCGUGCCUGUCGGCAGCGCACAGAGGGUGCAGGAGGCCAGGGAGCUACGCUACAGUGAGUUUUGUGGGAUGAGCGGGGCUGUCGCGGCUAGCAGCACGGAGGCACGCGGCGGCUUGGCCUUCACGGCGAACUCGUAACACAGACACAACUAACUGCUACUCGUGUUGCCAUCUCGUGCUCAUGGUAUGCCUCUGCAAUUGCCGACGACCGCGCUGUUGAUGUUCCUGCGUCAUCCAAUUCUUGUUCAAAUCCAUCACUUGCGUGCUGCGGGUCCUGGACAUGGCGUGGACAAUGGCGCGAUGGCGGGGCGCACGCUUGUCGCCGCUCCAGCGCUGUCAGCCACACCCGCUUCGGCGGCUCGCCCGGUCUGCCGUUGUUGCUCGGCCACGCACGGGCGAUGACUGCUGAAACCAUGCAAGUCAGCAUGAAAACCACUUUUGUUAAAUCAAAGGACUCGAGUUAUCUGGUUUAAAGAAUUGAGGGACUAAGUUUUGCUGGUUUUGAAGUUAAGGGACCGUUUCUAUACUUUCGAGAGAGUUUAGGGACGAAAAAUAUACUUUUCCCUACUUGCUAUGAUGUUCGAAUUUGACUGCUCUGUCGUAAUCACCAAUCACCACAGUUAACACACUACACAUGAUUCUGCUUGCAGAAACCCAACAGUUAACGGAGAAAUCAGGUCACUUUGCAUCUACUUUGCCUCAGUUUUUUCAGAAGUCAACAGAGUUUGUAAAAAAAAGAAACAUGAUCCUGCGGCGGUUGCCCAGACUUUUUUUUCUGCGGUAGUAAUGUUUGGAUGGGACAUGUCCCUCCUUUCAUAAUCACUUUGUAAUUUCUACUUGUGCUAUGUAAUGGACGCCUUAAAUAAAAAGGCAGUAUGUUUUGUAGAUACUCCCUUUGUUGAGAAUAAUUAUCACUAUAACUUUCUUUAUGAGGA